GUCCACAACACAACUCUGGAGAGACUGUCUAGUCCACAACACAACUCUGGAGAGACUGUCUAGUCCACAACACAACUCUGGAGAGACUGUCUAGUCCACAACACAACUCUGGAGAGACUGUCUAGUCCACAACACAACUCUGGAGGGACUGUCUAGUCCACAACACAACUCUGGAGAGACUGUCUAGUCCACAACACAACUCUGGAGAGACUGUCUAGUCCACAACACAACUCUGGAGAGACUGUCUAGUCCACAACACAACUCUGGAGAGACUGUCUAGUCCACAACACAACUCUGGAGAGACUGUCUAGUCCACAACACAACUCUGGAGAGACUGUCUAGUCCACAACACAACUCUGGAGAGACCGUCUAGUCCACAACACAACUCUGGAGAGACUGUCUAGUCCACAACACAACUCUGGAGAGACCGUCUAGUCUACAACACAACUCUGGAGAGACCGUCUAGUCCACAACACAACUCUGGAGAGACUGUCUAGUCCACAACACAACUCUGGAGAGACUGUCUAGUCCACAACACAACUCUGGAGAGACUGUCUAGUCCACAACACAACUCUGGAGAGACCGUCUAGUCCACAACACAACUCUGGAGAGACUGUCUAGUCCACAACACAACUCUGGAGAGACUGUCUAGUCCACAACACAACUCUGGAGAGACUGUCUAGUCCACAACACAACUCUGGAGAGACUGUCUAGUCCACAACACAACUCUGGAGAGACUGUCUAGUCCACAACACAACUCUGGAGAGACCGUCUAGUCCACAACACAACUCUGGAGAGACUGUCUAGUCCACAACACAACUCUGGAGAGACUGUCUAGUCCACAACACAACUCUGGAGAGACUGUCUAGUCCAUAACACAACUCUGGAGAGACUGCCUAGUCCACAACACAACUCUGGAGAGACUGUCUAGUCCACAACACAGUGAGAAGCAGCAGCAGCUGAACCUUCUUAGCUGUUUGGAACGACUCCUGCUUCCUGCCAUCUCAUUAAAAGUGUCUUUGGAAAAUGUGUGAACAUCAUAUGCUUCCUGCUUCCUGGCCUUUUUAAAAUAAUUUUAUUCUUAUGUCUUUUACAUUUUUAUAGUUUUAAUAUGUUGUUUUUAAUGAUGAGCCUGGGGAAACCAAAAAUGAUGUAUCGGAAGUUGGGGGAAGAACUACUGAUUUGGAAGGUUAGAUUAAGUUAGGUAAGGUUAGGUUAGGUUAAGUUAGGUUAGGUUAGGUUAAGUUAGGUUAGGUUAAGUUAAGUUAGGUUAGGUUAAGUUAAGUUAGGUUAGGUUAAGUUAAGUUAGGUUAGGUUAGGUUAAGUUAGGUUUAAGUUAGUUUAAGUUAGGUUUAAGUUAGGUUAGGUUAAGUUAGGUUAGGUUAAGUUAGGUUAAGUUAGGGCUACAUUCCAAAUGGCACUGAUUCCCUACAUAGUGCACUACUUUUGACCAGAGCUCUGUGGCCACUGGUCAAAAAGAGUGUACUAUAUAGGGAAUAGGGUGCCAUUUGGGACACAGCCUAGGUUAUACAAGAUGGAGUCCCAGUUAGGACUGUGUGGUGGUGAUGGGGGAUGGGCUGUUGCCUGGGUUGGGUACCUUGUAUACUAUACCAUACUGCUGCUUGGCUGUGCCAGCAUGUCUAGAAGUUAAACCUUUCAUUGUCAAAUCAAGUGCCUUCAGUUGUAUUGUUUUGAGAGAAUAAGAGGGAAAAAACAAAGGAAUGCCAAGUUUUCUGUAUUGUAGUGUAUUGUAGUGUAUUGUAGUGUAUUGUAGUGUAUUAUAGUGUAUUGUAGUGUAUUGUAGUGUAUUGUAGUGUAUUGUAGUGUAUUGUAGUGUAUUGUAGUGUAUUAUAGUGUAUUGUAGUGUAUUGUAGUGUAUUGUAGUGUAUUGUAGUGUAUUGUAGUGUAUUGUAGUGUAUUAUAGUGUAUUGUAGUGUAUUGUAGUGUAUUGUAGUGUAUUGUAGUGUAUUGUAGUGUAUUGUAGUGUGUAUCGUCACGUCAAGCAAUAAUGAUGUAUCGUAGAAAUUGUAUUAUUGACGGACAAACCACACUUUCCUUUACUUACCCUAAUGUUUAAUAAUCGAAAGUAUAUUUCUGUUGUUAAAGGUUUUUAUAAAAACAUGUGUUACUAUGACUGUGUUCUUUCUUUCGUAUUUCUUAAUCUUCUUUACAUUACAGCCUGAUGUUUUUAUCUUUUAAUAAUCUUCUAUGUUUCUUAGGUUAUUACAUGAUGUAUUAUAGAUCAAACAGAUUCUUGGUUUUACUUUAGUUGCGUUACAAGUUGUCUCUCAGCAGGUGAGGAUUUUUAACGAUUUGAUCAAUAUUGGUGUAAUUGUAUCCUUAUCGAUCACACGCUCUGCUUUCAUUCGUUCACUAUUACGUUAAGAUAUUCCUAAUCAAUACCCCCCCCAAAAAAAAAAAAAAAUCGAACUUAAAAGAAGGACAAUAGGCACUUUGGAUCAAUAAGGGCUGGUUUGAUAUAUCUGCAUCCUGAAUGGCACCCUAUUCCCUACACAGUGCACUACUAUAUAUAGGAAAUAGGGUGUAUUUUAGGAGACUGCCUUUCAGACAGGGAGACAAUGGCUUGUUUGAUAUAGUUGCAUCCUGAAUGGCACCCUAUUACCUUCACAGUGCACUGCUAUAUAUAGGGAAUAGGGUGAAUUUUAGGAGCCGGCCAUUGUCUCCGUGUCUGAAAGGCAGUCUAUGGAUGUCCCUUACUGCCCAGUUGUAGACCUGCUUUGCUGCUGAAACAAGAUGGUGGUUAGGACCUGUUUGGUUAGAAGAGCAUGUCAUGAUGGCUAGAGAGGUAAGGUUAGAGGUUACACUUUGAUUUGAAUCAAUGGUAAAAUGUGAGUUACAGUAUGUGUGCUUUAGUUGGUGUACAGGCAGAAUUUCUCCUUAUGGAAAAACAACCAGCUAUGGUUUUACAGUCAGGAAUUGUUGUGAUGUGACAGAUUCCAAAGAGUUAUUUUAUUAUUAUUAUUAUUAUUUUAUUUCUUCUAGUGAUUCUUCUUUCAACUGAUACUGAAUCUAAUUUCACGGGCGAAAAAAAACUACAAAAUGAUUUGUUAUUAUCAACCUCUGUCCAUCUGUCUGACUAUAAUACACAUGUAUGUAUAAGCUAAUGAGAAUAUAUGUCAGUAAGGUAGGGUUUCACGGUAACAGAGGUGUCUAGACCGUCGUUGUGAUGAACUAAACUGAGGAUUCUAAAUGGAUUCUAGGAGUUCUAGAAUAGAACAGACAUGAUUCCGUGAUUCUUCCGGAACAAGAGAACAAUACAGUGACUUAACUUGUUAAAGUUGGUGGUUGAAUAAAUGAUGUAUUUGUCAUGUAAGUGUGAUUUUUUUUUAAAUUUUUCAUUUAAUUUUUAAUUUUUUAAUUCUUAGCUAGUUUUGUUAAGACUAUAGUUAACUGUUGACUGUUUGCGUAGUACUAAUCACUCACGUUUAAAGGAUUGGUAUUUAGGUAUUGUCUAAAUGCAGGCGUCUACAAAUGAAUUUAUAUUCAGUAACGAUGAUCUCUAAAUCUUUUCAGAGAUAAUAUGUACAUGUAUUGUAGAAACAAAUUCUGUUCCAUAUGUAUCCCUUUCUGUAAUACUUUACAAUUGGCCUGGAAUAAAGUAUAUACUGUAGUAAUAAUGUAUAUACUGUAGUAAUAAUGUAUAUACUGUAGUAAUGUGUCUUGUGGUGUUUUCCUUCCUAUAAUCAGAUACAGGUUUUAUUUUUCUCACUCUGUCACACACACUAAACUUGAUUUCCAUUCAAAAUCCUAUUUUCCCUAGCCCCUAAACCGUGGCCUAACUCUAAACCUACCCCUAACUCCUAAUCCAACUCCUACCCCUAACUCCUAACCCCUAACUCCUAACCCAACUCCUACCCCUAACUCCUAACCUUAACUCCUAACCCCUAACUCCUAACCUAACUCCUACCCCAACUCCUAACUCCUAACCUUAACUCCUAACUCCUAACCUUAACUCCUAACCCCUAACUCCUAACCUAACUCCUACCCCUAACUCCUACCCCUAACUCCUAACCUUAACUCCUAACUCCUACCCCCUAACUCCUAACCCCUUAACCUAACCCCUUAACCUAACCCCUUAGCCUAACCCCUUAGCCUAACCCCUUAACCUAGCCCCUUAACCUAACCCCUUAACCUAACCCCUUAGCCUAACCCCUUAGCCUAACCCCUUAGCCUAACCCCUUAGCCUAACCCCUUAGCCUAACCCCUUAACCUAACCCCUUAACCUAACCCCUUAGCCUAAAAUAACCCCCAAGCUAAAAGAGAAGGAAUAUAAUAUCUAUUGUUCACAGGAAAAUCAUUCAACAAUUUUAGAUGAAGUUUUGUGAAAAAAAGGACUUGGGGGGCGGAAUAUAUUUCUCCCAUGGGGCAAAAAAAACAGGCAAAG
rnacentral:lncRNA from 1 species